UACGGGAGGCAGCAGUGGGGAAUAUUGCACAAUGGGCGCAAGCCUGAUGCAGCCAUGCCGCGUGUAUGAAGAAGGCCUUCGGGUUGUAAAGUACUUUCAGUCGUGAGGAAGGUGUUAAGGUUAAUAACCUUAGCAAUUGACGUUAGCGACAGAAGAAGCACCGGCUAACUCCGUGCCAGCAGCCGCGGUAAUACGGAGGGUGCGAGCGUUAAUCGGAAUUACUGGGCGUAAAGGGCACGCAGGCGGUUAAUUAAGUUGGAUGUGAAAUCCCCGGGCUUAACCUGGGGAUGGCAUUCAAGACUGGUUAGCUAGAGUCUUGUAGAGGGGGUAGAAUUCCAUGUGUAGCGGUGAAAUGCGUAGAGAUGUGGAGGAAUACCGGUGGCGAAGGCGGCCCCUGGACAAAGACUGACGCUCAUGUGCGAAAGCGUGGGGAGCAAACAGGAUUAGAUACC
rnacentral:rRNA from 1 species